AUUCCUGGUGUCCAACGAUAGUUUCUCAGGGUAUCCCCUAUCUAAAAAGAGAUAGGGGAUACCCUGAGAAACUACUGUUGGACACCAGGAA
rnacentral:pre_miRNA from 12 species